GAGUGGUAGAUGGUUGGGCAAGUUGUAUACACGGUGUCAUCAAAUCAUGCAGUCCGGAGAACGCAUAUGUAAUUCUAUCAAUAGUUGAGGCAGCUAAACCAGGCAUUUGUUUGAUGUAAACAAAACAUUUUUCACUGUGGAACAAGUAAUUAAAAUGCAUGUUCAAAAAGUUGUGUAUUUAACUUUCAAUAAUCUUUACUGACCACUUUCUCUAGUUGUUUGCAACUUUUGUUUUCAUCAUGUAUAGAUUUAACGUGUAUUAGUUUUGACCUGUAAUACGGAGUUUUGGGAAUAUUGAAAAUUAAUUACCGAAGUAAGCUGUCUUCUUUAUACAGGAACAUGCAUAAUAUGAAACAAAC
rnacentral:lncRNA from 1 species